CGAUGAAGCCCAGCUUGCUGGGUGGAUUAGUGGCGAACGGGUGAGUAACACGUGAGUAACCUGCCCUUAACUCUGGGAUAAGCCUGGGAAACUGGGUCUAAUACCGGAUAGGAGCGCCCACCGCAUGGUGGGUGUUGGAAAGAUUUAUCGGUUUUGGAUGGACUCGCGGCCUAUCAGCUUGUUGGUGAGGUAAUGGCUCACCAAGGCGACGACGGGUAGCCGGCCUGAGAGGGUGACCGGCCACACUGGGACUGAGACACGGCCCAGACUCCUACGGGAGGCAGCAGUGGGGAAUAUUGCACAAUGGGCGCAAGCCUGAUGCAGCGACGCCGCGUGAGGGAUGACGGCCUUCGGGUUGUAAACCUCUUUCAGUAGGGAAGAAGCGAAAGUGACGGUACCUGCAGAAGAAGCACCGGCUAACUACGUGCCAGCAGCCGCGGUAAUACGUAGGGUGCGAGCGUUAUCCGGAAUUAUUGGGCGUAAAGAGCUCGUAGGCGGUUUGUCGCGUCUGUCGUGAAAGUCCGGGGCUUAACCCCGGAUCUGCGGUGGGUACGGGCAGACUAGAGUGCAGUAGGGGAGACUGGAAUUCCUGGUGUAGCGGUGGAAUGCGCAGAUAUCAGGAGGAACACCGAUGGCGAAGGCAGGUCUCUGGGCUGUAACUGACGCUGAGGAGCGAAAGCAUGGGGAGCGAACAGGAUUAGAUACCCUGGUAGUCCAUGCCGUAAACGUUGGGCACUAGGUGUGGGGACCAUUCCACGGUUUCCGCGCCGCAGCUAACGCAUUAAGUGCCCCGCCUGGGGAGUAC
rnacentral:rRNA from 1 species